CCCUUAGAUGUUCUGGGCCGCACGCGCGCUACACUGAUGCAUUCAACGAGUCUAAAACCUGGUCUGAUAGGGCUGGGUAAUCUUUUGAAAGUGCAUCGUGAUUGGGAUAGAUGAUUGCAAUUCUUCAUCUUCAACGAGGAAUGCCUAGUAAACGCAAGUCAUCAGCUUGCAUUGAUUACGUCCCUGCCCUUUGUACACACCGCCCGUCGCUCCUACCGAUUGAAUGAUCCGAUGAAUACCAUGGAUUGAGAGUACGAAUGGGUUCGCUCAUUUCUGCUGCUCGAGAAGUGGAGUAAAUCUUAUCAUUUAGAGGAAGUAAAAGUCGUAACA
rnacentral:rRNA from 1 species